rnacentral:snoRNA from 7 species
AAGCAACACUCUGUAGUAAGCAUUUGGUUGCCUGCUGCAAUUUAAGCUUGCUAAAUCAGAAAAGUCUAACCUAUUCCAGGGAUCUCUGCUUUGUGAGGUCGCUUGUUAUAUAGACUUGUACAGC